AUGCAACAAGCUGGGAAAAUGCUGGGGUGUCUAGGGCAAGCCUCCCACCCCACCCUCCACGGCUCCUCCGUCUUUAGGCUGUCUUAAGUUAACUGUGUUGUAGAAAGGGGGUAUUUAAUGGAGAAGCCAGAGGAAAGAGAGUAGCCCAGGGAGGGAGGGAAUGGAACACUCAAACAAAUGCAAACGAAUCCUCUUUAGCAGAUUCCAGUCUACACUCAGCUAACCAAACAGGAGCAGCUGGCCCUCAUGACACAGCAGGACAGUCUCCAUUACUGUCAGAUGGCCAAAACAACCCACCCUUGCCAAUGCUCAGACUAGGAAUGUAAGAGGCUAACUGGUGCCAGGCGGUGGAUCCAAUGCCUUUAAUCCCAGCAUUCAGGAAGCAGAGACAGGUGAGUCUCUUGAGUUCGAGGCCAGCCCGCUCUACAGAGUGAGUUCCAGGACACCACCAGAGCUAUGUGGGGAAACCAUGUCUGGGGGCAGGGGUAACAGGUGCAUUAUUACUUCCUACGUUGGUCUUAUAGGAGCCAAAGGAGCUUCCCACAGCCCAAGGUUAGAGAAGAGGAAGAUGCUUUGCUAUGGCUGAAAAAGGGCAAAAAAAAAAAAAAAAAGUAUUCCAUUGGUUGCUGGCAGCCCUCUUGCAAGCAUGAGGGAGCCCGGUGGAAGGCGGUCAGCAGGAUCACCUAGCUCUUCAGAUACUGACUGAGACUGCAGGUUCCAUAGAGGGCACCCUCCCAGAUCUUUAGCCCCUUGUAAAACCUGAAGCUGCAACUUCAGGAUUUUUAUUGGGAGCCGAAAGAACGGGCUCUGAGUCACAGUUCUGGCCCAGCGCGGAGACGUCUCAGAACUGCUUUAAGUGUCAUUAAUAGGUAACUGUCUAAAUCCUACAAGAGCCUUAUCCAGCAGUGCGCUUAUCGGUAAAGAACACAGACCAGGAUUAUCCCUCCCCGAAACAGUGGACGCAGAUGGGCUGGUCAGUCCCCUGAACAGAAUGCCAACCUGGUGGGUUCUGGGGAGUCUAGGGACUGUGCAGGGCCUGUCUGAAGUGUAGGUGGGUCCCUUGAUCCCCUUGUACCCCUGGAGAAUGUUUUCCCCUUUGCUCUGUGAUAUACCUGCCUCUCUUCUACACUACAAUUUGAGCCCUUUCAACUGAGUUCACAAGAACUGGGGUCGAGCCAAGGGCAGCUCAGCCUUGGAUCCCAGCACUAAUGCUCAGUGAGGGGAGAGAGGUAGAGAGGCUGUGUCCAUCCGGGCCCCUUCCCCUGUCAUCUCUGGCACAUGGGUUCUCAAUCUGCGCUCCUUCUGAUAGGACAGGAAAAGGACACUUGGCCCAGUUUUGUCCAAUUAGAUCUUUCAGGCCAGAGACUUGACUCCAGGCAUGAACCCCACCACAGGACGGCAAAGGACUGAUUGAUUGGUUAGUUGUGAGCCUGGUGUUGUGUACUGGAGCUAAUGAAAAGUCACCUGCCAGGCGCUGGUGUGGCACUUUGUCACUAACACACAGUAUCAAUAUGGAGUUGACUGUUUUUCUUUUCUUUCUUUCCUUUCGAGACGGGGGUCUUGCUAUUAGCUUGGGCUAUCCUGGAACUCACUCUGGAGACCAGGCUGGCUUUGAACUCACAGAGGUCCACCUGCCUCUGCCUCCAGACUGUUGGGCUUAAAGGGGUGCCUCAGCAAGCCAGCUGAAAGGGGUUUUGAGAGAGCAGCUAUAACUACUAAAGGAGGCAGCCUAGAGUACAUUAGUUUACCAUUUUUGUUUGUGUGUUUUGAGGCAGGGUCUCAUGAUGUAGACCAGGCUGACCUCAAACACACAGAGAUCUGCCUUCCUCUGAGUGCUCAGACCAAACAUGUGCGCCAGCACGCUGCGCUCAUGCCCCCAUGGUAUCUCCUUAGGUCAGACUCCUGCUUGUCUUGUCAGUGUGUUGAUCCCUUAGGACACCGUCCAUCUGGCUGAGCUCAGGGCCUGGAAGUCUGAAGAUGCAAAACUGAGACUGAGGGGGCAGAUAAAGGUCAGCUCCCACAAGGCACUGCUCCAGACUGCCACCCCCACCCUCCACCUCCAGCCCUGACAGAGAGACAUGAAGGUCUCCCUUUCACCCUAAACCUGCAGCCUCUUUGGAUACCAGGAACAGCAGGACACACGGACAAGUCAGCCUCUAACCCAAAUCUUCCUCUAAGCCAACCGAAAGCUUCCAUCUGGAGGUAAACCUGGGGUCACCGAACCCUUUUAUCUCUUCUUCCCAGGUGGCCACACUGACUGACACAAAGACAUUGUCUCUGUCUUUGUCCCUUCCUCUUUCUAAUUGGCAUGUUGGGACAGGCAGCCAAGUAGAGCCCUGAUUCACCCCAGCUUUCUCCAAAAACUCACUAGCAACCACACCGUCACAUUCCUCUGCUCAUCUUCUCUAUGACAAACAGGUGACCUUCUUGUGUCCUGAACUGCAGGGACUCUGUCCAGAGGGCAGUGAUGGGGACUAGUCCGGGAGGGAAGCCAGCAUUCAAUUCAAUUUGGCACCACACUGUGGUCCAUGACCCUGCAAGACACUGGGGACACCUGGCCUCCAUCUGGAGGUGGCAGGAGGAACGAGAUGCCCCAGGCUGAAGCUAUUCUCUCCUCCCUUCUCCCUUCCCUUCUUUCUCCUUUCUCCUGGGAUGGCACGGGAAGACCUUGAAAACUACAACGUUUAAAAACUACAGCUCCCAGGCUCCUUUGCAGAAGCAGGCCUCCAAAGAAGAUUAAGCGUUAAUACAUCUUGUCAGUUUAGUGAGUUCAGCUGAAGCCCCAAGACCUCAACAGUCAGGACAAGUGUCUCCCAACGCCCCCAUCCCCAACUCCUGCUGUACCUCUUCGUUGCUACCAGGGAAUUGGGCCCUGAACCAGCUCUAGAAGGGCUUGACUUCCUCCCAGCCUCUCCAGCUAUUUAGGAUCUGAUGGGACAGCCAGGGCCAGUCUGUUUCCCUGAUGGGACCAGGAUGAGCCACUCCACACAAAUCAGGCAGCGGCUCAGCCCGUGGCCUGCAUGCCUUCUCCUUCCUCCUCCUAAAUCCCCUGAGAGCAGGUUCUGAGAAAGUUCCUGAUUUGUGAUCCCAUCCAUCAGUCCUGGUUAAAUGAUUUUUUUUUCUUUUCCUUGUUCGUUGUUUUUUUUUCCCCCCAGAGCAGAGACCUGAACCCAGAGCUUAGGGCAAGCACCCUACCACUGAGCUAAAACUCCAAACCCACACUUUUCUUUCUUCCUUCCUUCCCUCCUUUCUUUUUUUUUUUAAAGAUUUAUUUUAUGUAUAUGAGUGUGCUGUCUUCAGACACACCAGAAGAGGGCAUCGGAUCCCAUUACAGAUGGUUGUGAGCCACCAUGUGGUUGCUGGGAUUUGAACUCAGGACCUCUGGAAGAACAACCAGUGUUCUUAACCACUGAGCCAUCUCGCUAGCCACACACCUUUCUUUUUGAGACAGUUUUUCCCUGAGACCUGGGGCUAGCCCCCGUCGAACUACUUGCAAUUCACUCAGUUAAGAGCACCUCCUGCCAAGCCGGAGUUCAAUUGCUGGGCGAGGCAGAAGGAGAAAACUGACUCCAGAAUGCUGUCCUCCGACCUCUGCACGUGUUCUAUGACGUACGUACACUUUCUGCUUGCUGCCCCGUCAAUAAAUAAAUGUAGCAUAAACAAUUUUCAGGUCAAUGCCAGCCUCUCUUCAUAAAGAAGCAAGAUCUUUUUUUUCAGUCCUCCAAGAAUGUAUAGAGCUUUGAGGAAACAUCCACUGUGUCCCCUCCCUUCUAUGACCUUCUGUGACACACUCUGGUGACCCAGCCUACGCUCACGGAGUCUCCCAAGGCUGUCAUUGUCCCCCAUCCUCAACGCAGCCUGAAUGUCUGGGUCCUGGAGUCACACAGACCUGGGCGGCCAUCGGCUGUGAGACUUUGGACACAGCCCUUGACAUCUUGAGAGCUAGCUCUCUCAUGGGAUCACCUCUGAAACCUCCGGCUUAUCUUCCUCACCAGCUCCUCCUGGGGAUGCCCGGUCCUGGGAGUAGACUACUGUGACCAUUUAGCCGCGCCCAGCAUAUGAUAGCAAGGUUGGGCAAGCUUCCAGGGAAGGGAGGCUUGAAGAAAAGCCUAGAGGAUGUGUCCUGGGAAGAGCACCCAGAGAAGGCUCGACUCUCCCGCUAUCACUUUUUCUAUUGUAGACCAUCUCCGAAGAAGGAGGCUGGAACUAUCUGUGCUCAGCGAGCCCUCAGACGGGCUGAAGGAACACAGAGAAGCUGACUGUGGCUUAUCACGGUGACGGGGCACAGACUAAACUCAGCAAGAUUAAAGACAAGGGUCAGAGUCCGGGAGACAAUGGGCCUAGGGCUGGGUUCACACGGCUUCAGCAUGAGACGCAAACUGCUGACAGCAGAAAGUGCCCCCAAGCCUUGGCAUCUGUGAUGUUUAGUGAGAGUUGGUCACGUGCGCAUGAACUCCGCCAAUCUUAGACACUGGGUCUCACCUGCAAUAGGGGCCCAGCUCAAAUACAAGGCCACAGGCCCUCAUGGUGUUUGUUCUGGGGGCUGGAAGGUUAUCUUCCAGGAGCCUAGGCAGGGACAUGGCUUCGCUGGGAAUGCUCAGGGUUUGGACAAUACAGACCUACUAAGUUAAGCCUUCACCGCAAACCCAAAGCCCCACCUACCAAGAGAAAAAGGGUCUCCCUCCCCGGGAGUCGGAACUGUAUAAGAUAACGUCUUGUGGUGGUGGGGAUACUGGGACAGACCAGCUGCUAUGAAAAAUGGCCAAGAGACCGCCACCGUGUGAGGAAGCUCCUACUAGGCAAUCAGAGAAACCAUGUGAGGCCUUAGACAGAUGAACGAAGACACCUCCUUGAACCUCCCAGCCCACUGUUCAGCAAAUGGCACCAACCAAAGCCCAUGGGACAGAAUAAAUAGCUAAGCUCACAGCAGCAGAGAGACUAAAACAUCCAACAACUUGCCAUUUGCAGCGGCUGUGAUACGGUUGAGUCCAUGGAAAUCAGCAACUGGUCCAUCUUCCUUUCCUGUUGGGAUUCUGCUUGUACGAGGCUUUGAUGUCUGGAGCUAUGGCAGCCUUCUUGGAACUAUGUGGAGGAUCAUGGCCCACACGUCAACCAGAGAAAACAAAAGAUGAGCAGAGGGCUGGGGGCUUGGUGACAAAUAGAACCUGGAAGCUUCUACUUCUAGAUUUCCAGUUCCUUAAGCCUCUGUUGACCAUUCCGUUCUUUGUGUCCCUGCCUGUCUGGGGUUCUACCUUGGUGCCCACUUCCCAUACCUGAGCCCCAGUUUCUCUUCUGAAAACACGGCGACAAUGACCCACCUCAGGAAGUAGCCAAGAACUUGGGAAAAGUCAAAUUUAGGGCCAGAAAUGAUGUCAGCGGGAAGAAAGCACGCUGUAACACUGAGCUGACAGUUGGAAAGAGAUGCCAACCGCCAAUGUGCCUCCUCAAAGACGCUGGAACCGAGACGUGUCUGCAGCAGGGUCCUUCAGAAAGAGCCUGGAAAUCCUGAGCUGAGACACCUGGAAAAGGCCUGUGAUCAACACUGAGUGGCAGAGCCCUUUCCCGGGAUCUUUGAGGCCCUGCUUCCAUCCUGAGCCCUGCAAGAAAAAAAAAAAAAUUAAAUUAUCAGUUAGGAGCCUAUCACCAUUUCUCCAUACAAGGACAACUACAUCUAAUGAAAAAAAAAAAAGGUAAAUACGGUUAGAAAGUAAGCACCUCCCCCUAAACCCAGGCUUGUCCCAUGCUUUUUAAAUAAAGUUUUAUUGGAACACAGCCACAGUGGUUCAUUUGCAUAUGGACUUUGGCUGUAUUGGCCUUGAGCCAGCUGUUAAGUUUCCUUGAGUCUUUUCUAUCAAAUGCUAUAAAACUUAUGUUUAGGACGAGGGAUUUAAGUCUUUUUACCUCACCUCUAACUUUGUGAGACUUUUAUAGUGACGGUUUUGGACUUUUGGUUUCUUUAAAAAACACAGAAAUAUUGUAAGAACAUGUUUUCAGUUUUAAUCCUGGGUGUGGGAGAUGGGGCCGCUUCAGACUGUCCCCCCAGCAGGUGACUGUGAUUUGCCUCAUGCUCUAGCAGGGGGGUGGUCUUGCCAGCUUCAGAUUGUGUGACGUUUGGAAUUCUGGGGAGUUUUUAAAGCGUACAAAGAUGCUAGGGUCCUAAAAGGUGAGUUGAUGAGUUGCUGGUCGUUGGUUGAAGUUUGUUUUUUGGUUUUAUUUUUUAAAGAUUUAUUUAUUUGUUUCACGCAUGUGGGUAUACUGUCACUGUCAAACACACCAAAAGAGGGCAUCAGAUCCCAUUACAGAUGGUUGUGAGCCACCAUGUGGUUGCUGGGAAUUGAACUCACAACUUCUGGAAGAGCAGUCAGGCAGUCAGUGCUCUUAACCACUGAGCCGUCUCUCCAGCCCCGGUUCAAGUUUGUUAAGUAGUCCCAUGCGAAGAAGAAACAAAUUAGAUAUCUUUUUUUUUUUUUUUUUUUUUUGGAGUUGGGGACUGAACCCAGGGCCUUGCGCUCGCUAGGCAAAUUAGAUAUCUUGACAGGGUUGAUCAAACUUGCCCCAAGGAACUCUAAACAGGACCCUAAACAACACGGGAGGUAGCCUAAGGAGUCAACCCCUUUCUGACCCCAGACUUUCUUCAGGGGCCUCUUUCCAUUCCUCUUUUCUUUGAAAGGGUGGAAGAAAAGGGGUGGAGAUGGAUGGAAGAAAGAAGAAGCCAUGAAGGAGCAAAAGCCAGGCAUAGAUUUUUAUGCAAGUGUCCCCAUCCCUGCCCCACCCAGGAAAACUUUUCUUUACACACAGGAUCACAGGAAUUUGGUGGCCUGGAGCAAUGACUUCUUUCUCCUUGGAACAGUGGUCCCCCUCCCCCUUCCUCCUUCUUUUCCCAUCUACGAAUUCUUUUCAGACUAUCCAAUCAAAUAAGACUGUGGACUCCAACCAAUGGGGAAAAGGACACAGUUACCACCUGAGUGUGAAUAAAAACCAAAUAUGUU